UUCAAAUGAAUUAGCUCAAAAAUUAACUAGAAAAUGGGAAAACUUUUGAAACUAGUUGUAUGUUUAUUUUUUAUUCACCAGGCGAAAUUUGUGGACACUAAGUCCCAAAAUUGGAACGAGACCAUUCCACACGAGGAUAAAUGUCUUAAAUAUUGCUUUAAUGACGCGCGUUCCAUAUCAAAUCAUUUAAAACUAAUGAAAAUAUAUGCAGAAGACUUUGCCAAGUCAAAUGGAAAAAUAGUUGAUCUUGGAAAAGAGUUGCGAGUUUGUAAAGUUCUACUCAAGCGGCAGGUGGAUGAUUCAAUUAAACAAAAACAUGAAGAUUCGGAAGCACACAAUUUUUUACUAGCGGCCAUGAACAAGCAAAUUGCAGAUUUAAAUGAACUUUUGAGGGAAAAAGAUCGUCAGCUGCUUAAUUACAAGAAACAAAAGAAGGAUUUCUUAUCUUAGCCAGUAUACGAAUUCUCAAUUAUGAGCAAAUGAUUCCAAGAAAUUUAAUUAUUUUGUUUUAAAGUAACCAAAAUUAUAAACGUAUUCCGGCUUUGAAAUGUCAAAGUGACUAAAAGGAUCAACAUUUUUCAGAUGGUACUAUUAAUACAAAUGAUAAAGCUGCAUUUAGAUAGUUCUUAAUGUUAUCAUUAUGUAAACAUUGUAUACCAAAAUAUGUGAUCAAUAAAUCCCAAGGACAGAUUUGAUUGAAAAAUCAAAUCUUGGAUUCAAAAAGGUCGACAGAAAA